AUCAUUCACACACACUAAAUGGCAUUAGUUGUGGACUCCAUUCUCCAUCAUCAUAUUACCAAGUUCACUUUGUCGUUUUGGCUCCAACUACCAAGACGUCUGUUAGAAGAAUUCCUGAUUCAAUUUCGUUACUCCAGCCAUGAAGACUAACGAGGUAAUCCCCAUUGCUUCCCUUGGCCGAAUACUAAUUAAUCGUUGUUUGGAUUUCGUGUCCAUGUCCGUCUCAUAAAAAAUAGAAACAAAUAUAUCCAACGACUACCUUCCUCAGUACAUAUCACUUGUUUUGUACAUCAUAAAAACACAAUUUUCUGUUGCAUCUUUGUUCUUGUUCCUUCGAAUUUUUUUCCAUGGAUAGAAAAAAUUCUAAUUGGUCUGAUUGUUCCUAUUCCAGUGUUCAUCUUGUCAUAAACCCAAAAACUACACUGUUUGUAGAAUAUUUACUGGACAUCCACUAUCUUGCGUUUACUACCUUCUCUACAUGUUUGUUCUAACUAAUUGGUUUACGGUAUUUUACCAUUUCAUAAAAACCUAAUUGCACUGACUGUUUGCUUUCCUUUGUUCUUUUUGUUCUAAACUUGAAAGUUGCACUGACUGUAAAUUGACUCAGUUAAGAUCCACUAUUCUACAUUUCAUACUUUUUUUGCAUGUUUCUACCCUUUGCUUCCAUUUUUUUCUCCUAUCUGAUGAAACCCUAACUGAACUAAUGUUUAGGGUUUCUUGGUUCUUGUUACUCUGAACCCAAAAAUUGUACUGUUUGAAAUAAGAUACCGGAGCUCAACUAUUAUAUUUUUUUUACUAUUUCAGUUGACCAAUAGUUCCACCCUGAACCUUAUUUUCUGUUCUGUAUUAGGCACACAUGUCCUCCUCCAGGGGCAAGGGUAAGCGACCGACAACGAGUGAUCAAAACCUGGUGGUCCCUGAUGGAAGGGAUGUCCAUAUUCAGUGCUUUUGGAAAGAACGACAAAAUGUCAGCAUCGCAUUGACGCGAGGUUGGCCACAGUUCUAUCGAAGGUAUCAAAUCAAUCUGGACUCCAUGCUGUAUUUCCAACACAUAGGCAACUCUAAUUUCCAAGUGCGUAUCUUCGACUUUUGUGGCCGCGAAAACACCUACUAUCCCCGCCAUACCAACAACCACGGUAUCAAAAGCAAGGCACUUACCAGCAUGUCAGAUGUAUCAAUAAUCCUUCUUUCGACAAAGCUAAAGCCAUAGCUGAAAAAUUCUCCACCUAAUGCCCCUUCUUCGUGAUGGAUCUUACUGGCCCCAUCUUGUCUUCCCACUUGUUGAGGCACCCAGUUUUCCUUGCACACGGCUACAUUGAUGUUGAAGCAACCUACACUGGAUUUAAUGGCACAUGAAACGUUAGCUUUGGAGUAAUUUCUGGAGGUUGAAAAAACUUUGCAAUUUUGUGCAACUUCAAACCUGGAGGUGUUAGGGCCUUCAAGGUCAUCUUAGUUAAAUCGGUCACAAUCCUUCAGGUCCGAUGCCACUAGGAAUUUGCAAGCUGAUGAAUAUCUAUCCUUUUGUUAUUAAUUACACAUGCAUUAUGUAGUUUAUGUUGGUAUUUAACUUUUUAAGAAUUCUAUUAUUUAACCUACUUAUUCCUGCCAAAACAAUACAUUUUGUUUUUUGCUACACUGUUACUAUUAUUUCACCUAUGCAGGUGCUUUAUUUACUAACAAUUUUUAUGGCUGCUACUACAGCCUAAAUCGCGUUACAACUUUCAUACUCAUAUUCACGUCCAUCUUCAA